rnacentral:lncRNA from 1 species
GGUUGAUCUUCCUCGGUUCGAACGAUCAAGUGAACCAGAGUAUUUACAUAGCAUUUACUGCAUUUACUUCGAUAAUAUACACCUUCAUGGAUGGUGACAGUCUGCAUAGACUAUGUGUCCUGCGGAUUCAAUAGUCCUGAUUUUCCUUGCACAAAUAAUUUGACCAGGUUCCUGCCUACCAAGGACACCUUCCCUAGCUCACUACUGGGGAGGAGUUAAUGAAAGUGGCAUACAUUGGCCUAAGAAACUGUGGUCUGAUCAUCACCUUCCCAAGUUUGGACAUCAGGUUUCAGUCAUGAAGCUUGUGGCAGAGCAUGUGAGCAAGGAUUGAGGACAACUAGGCAGGCUGGGUAGUUUCUGCAACCAGCCUGAUAGUAUCCACACCACUCCAUGCUAUCUUAUUUCCACUUAGGGAGGCAGUGCACCAUAUCUCACGCAGGGUGUUGGUUACUGCAGUGAGGGUUUGUGUGCCCCCCACAGGACAUGCUGCACUGAUGGCGUGGCAUUGAGGGAAGCGUUUCUUUGUAUCCCUGCCCAACACUUUAUUGAACACAUGAAGGUGCUCCAGAGUUUCAAGAAGGGAGUGACACACACACUGCUGCACUCCAAGCUUGUGGAGGUCCAGCGGCACACUGCACUCUGCUUUCAUAAACGUGUGUGCAGACUGCAAGACAGAGAGGGGCAAGGAUGGAGGAUGCUUCAACAUUCACACCACCAUUGGUUCAUGCUUUCUUUUUUGUGGCAAAUAGUUCACACAGUUUUAACCAAUAAAUAUAUAUAUAUAUAUAUAUAUAUAUAUAUAUAUAUAUAUAUAUAUAUAUAUAUAUAUAUAUAUAUAUAUAUAUAUAUAUAUAUAUAUAUAUAUAUAUAUAUAUAUAUAUAUGAGUUGAUAGUUCCUCCAAGACUUUUGCAGUGAAAAGGCUCUCAAACUACUUUUAUGUUUUGUUAUAUUAGACAAAUGUAUGGAUGGCAAUGAUAGGUGUAAUGAGAUAAACCUGUUUUUAUAGAGACUGCCGCUGUGUACAUGAAGGGCUCAUGGUCCCUCUUGCAACAUUCCUCAUUUUUGUUUCUCUAAUACUUUUGAAAUAAUUUUGUAAGUUGAAAAUAUUCCCAAAGUAAUGUAAUAUUUGGAAAAAUUGUCAUAAUUGCAUAAACUAUUAAGUUGAAAAUGUAAAAAUUGUACAAAUUCUGCUAAUUUCUUGUAGAAAUGGUCAAACAUUUUUAGUGUAAGUUUCUAUGAUUUGAAGUUGAAAAGUUUUCUAAGUUGAAUUGAAAAUAUUCCCAAAGUAAUGUAAUAUUUGGAAAAAUUGUCAUAAAUUGUAUAAACUAUUUUGUUGAAAAUGUAAAAAUUGUACAAAUUCUGCUAAUUUCUUGUAGAAAUGGUCAAACAUUUUUAGUGUAAGUUUCUAUAAUUUGAAGUUGAAAAGUUUUCUAAGUUGAAAAUUUUGGUAGAGUUUUGGAAAAAUUGUCAUAAAUUGUAUAAACUAUUUUGUUGAAAAUUUAAAAAUUGUACAAAUUCUGCUAAUUUCUUGUAGAAAUGGUCAAACAUUUUUAGUGUAAGUUUCUAUAAUUUGAAGUUGAAAAGUUUUCUAAGUUGAAAAUUUUGGUAGAGUUUUGGAAAAAUUGUCAUAAAUUGUAUAAACUAUUUUGUUGAAAAUGUAAAAAUUGUACAAAUUCUGCUAAUUUCUUGUAGAAAUGGUCAAACAUUUUUAGUGUAAGUUUCUAUAAUUUGAAGGUGAAAAGUUUUCUAAGUUGAAAGUUUUGGUAGAGUUUUCAGACUACACAAAAAUGUGUUGAUUGAAUAAAAAGUGAAG